UACGGCGGGGGCAAGCGUUGUUCGGAAUUACUGGGCGUAAAGGGCGCUUAGGCGGACCUUCAAGUCAGGGUUGAAAGGCCUGGGCUCAACCUGGGAACUGCCUUUGAAACUGGAGGUCUUGGGUCCGGGAGAGGAUGGCGGAAUUCCCAGUGUAGAGGUGAAAUUCGUAGAUAUUGGGAAGAAAACCGGUGGCGAAGGUGGCCAUAUGGUCCGGCAAUGACUCUGGGGCGCGAAAGCGUGGGGAGCAAACAGG
rnacentral:rRNA from 1 species